rnacentral:rRNA from 1 species
GAUGAACGCUGGCGGCGUGCCUAAUACAUGCAAGUCGAGCGAACAGACGAGGAGCUUGCUCCUCUGACGUUAGCGGCGGACGUGUGAGUAACACGUGGAUAACCUCCCUAUAAGACUGUGAUAACUUCGGGAAACCGUAGCUAAUACCUGCUAAUCUAUUGUACCGCAUGGUUCAAUAGUGAAAUCCGGUUUUGCUGUUACUUAUAGAUUGAUUCGCGGCGCAUUAGCUAGUUGGUAGGGUAACGGCCUACCAAGGCAACGAUCAGUAGCCGGGCUGAGAGGGUGAUCGGCCACACUGGAACUGAGACACGGUCCAGACUCCUACGGGAGGCAGCAGUAGGGAAUCUUCGGCAAUGGGCGAAAGCCUGACGGAGCAACGCCGCGUGAGUGAUGAAGGUCUUCGGAUCGUAAAACUCUGUUAUUAGGGAAGAACAAAUGUGUAAGUAACCAUGCACGGCUUGACGGUACCGAAUCAGAAAGCCACGGCUAACUACGUG